AAUCAUUCCUUGAUUUGAUUCUAUGCAAACUCAGUGACCUUCCUUGUCUCUCAGCUAUAAAAACCUCACAUCAGACCGACGGUGGAGUUCACAGCAGGUCAGAUUCAGCACAAACCAUGUUUCCUGUAGCUCUGCUGCUGUUGGCAGCUGGAUCAUGUGUGAAGGGUGAACAGUUGACACAGCCGACCUCUGUGACUGUGCAGCCAGGUCAACGUCUGACCAUCACCUGUCAGGUCUCUUAUUCUCUUGGUGACUACUACACAGCUUGGAUCAGACAGCCUGCAGGAAAAGGACUGGAGUGGAUUGGAAUGAGAUCUACUGGAUAUACAUUCUACAAAGAUUCAUUAAAGAACAAGUUCAGUAUCGACUUAGACACUUCCAGCAAAACUGUGACUCUAAAUGGACAGAAUGUGCAGCCUGAAGACACUGCUGUGUAUUACUGUGCCAGAGACACAAUAACACAAACCACCAGUAGACCUGAACAAAAACCCCUCAGAGCCUGAACACUUGUGACAUGAAGCCACCAGAGGAGGAGCCCUCAGACCAGUUCACUGUCACUGGAGAGAGGAAUCAGUCGACAGUUUAAACACUCAUCUUUCUUCUGAGUGUAGGCAUACUUAUC